AGCGAACGCUGGCGGCAGGCUUAACACAUGCAAGUCGAGCGGGCGUAGCAAUACGUCAGCGGCAGACGGGUGAGUAACGCGUGGGAACAUACCUCUUGGUUCGGAACAACACAGGGAAACUUGUGCUAAUACCGGAUAAGCCCUUUACGGGAAGAUUUAUCGCCGAGAGAUUGGCCCGCGUCUGAUUAGCUAGUUGGUGAGGUAACGGCUCACCAAGGCGACGAUCAGUAGCNGGUCUGAGAGGAUGAUCAGCCACAUUGGGACUGAGACACGGCCCAAACUCCUACGGGAGGCAGCAGUGGGAAUAUUGGACAAUGGGCGCAAGCCUGAUCCAGCCAUGCCGCGUGAGUGAUGAAGGCCUAGGGUUGUAAAGCUCUUUUGUGCGGGAAGAUAAUGACGGUACCGCAAGAAUAACGCCCCGGCUAACUUCGUGCCAGCAGCCGCCGUAAC
rnacentral:rRNA from 1 species